rnacentral:rRNA from 1 species
UACAGAGGUCUCAAGCGUUGUUCGGAAUUACUGGGCGUAAAGGGUGCGCGGGCCGCGCGGGCAGUCAAAUGUGUAAUUCAGGGGCUCAACCCCUGCACUGCGCUUGAUACUUCCGCGCUCGAGCUUUGGAGAGGAGUCUGGAAUUCUCGGUGUAGCAGUGAAAUGCGUGGAUAUCGAGAAGAACACUUAGGGCGAAGGCAAGACUCUGGACAAAUGCUGACGCUCAUGCACGAAGGCUAGGGUAGCGAACGGG